rnacentral:misc_RNA from 1 species
AAGUCGUAACAAGGUAACCGUAGGUGAACCUGCGGUUGGAUCAUUAAAAAAUGUUUGGUCUUGUACCAAAUGAACACCUGUGUGCACCAAAUGACUGUUUUUGGUAGUUCGAGUUGCUCCUCGGGACUCAACACCCCGAGGUGCCUACCGCUGCCCGAUUAGGUGGACUGGUUUUACAACCUGGGCACCGUCAUUGGGCAACGCGCGGUUGGGCUACCGACCAUUUGAACAAACAUUUUGAUUUUUUUGUCUGAAAUUUUAAGAUUUAGUCUUUGAUGAUUAAUGAUUAAAUACAACUUUUGACAACGGAUCUCUUGGCUCUC